GGAAAGGGAAGAACCUCCGGGGUUAGGCGUAUUCUAGAUUGACGCCUUUUGCUGGAAGAGCGCUGCUGGGGUUAGGAUUCUGCGCGGCGAGGCAAGAUGCUCAAGUCCAAGACGUUCUUAAAAAAGACCCGGGCGGGCGGCGUGAUGAAGAUCGUGCGCGAGCACUACCUGCGAGACGACAUCGGCUGCGGUGCGCCCGGGUGCGCAGCGUGUGGAGGGGCGCACGAGGGGCCGGCCCUGGAGCCGCAGCCCCAGGACCCGGCGAGCAGCGUCUGCCCGCAACCGCACUACUUGCUGCCCGACACUAAUGUGUUACUGCACCAAUUGAUGUUCUUGAGGACCCUGCCAUCAGGAAUGUAAUUGUGCUACAAACAGUUCUUCAAGAAGUGAGAAAUCGCAGUGCCCCCGUAUAUAAACGCAUCCGAGAUGUGACUAAUAACCAAGAGAAGCAUUUCUAUACUUUCACUAAUGAGCACCAUAAGAAACCUAUGUAGAACAAGAACAGGGAGAAAAUGCUAAUGACAGGAAUGAUAGAGCGAUUCGAGUAGCAGCAAAAUGGUACAAUGAACAUUUGAAAAAAAUGUCAGCAGACAACCAGCUGCAAGUUAUCUUCAUAACAAAUGACAGGAGAAACAAAGAGAAAGCCAUAGAAGAAGGAAUACCAGCUUUCACUGUGAAGAAUAUGUAAAGAGCCUAACUGCUAACCCCGAACUCAUAGAUCGUCUUGCUUGUUUGUCUGAAGAAGGAAUGAAAUAGAAAGUGGAAAAAUAAUAUUUUCAGAGCAUCUUCCCUUAAGUAAGCUACAGCAAGGCAUAAAAUCUGGUACAUACCUUCAAGGAACAUUUAGAGCUAGCAGGGAAAAUUACUUGGAAGCUACAGUAUGGAUUCAUGGCGACAAUGAAGAAAAUAA
rnacentral:lncRNA from 1 species